rnacentral:misc_RNA from 1 species
UACGGAGGAUGCGAGCGUUAUCCGGAUUUAUUGGGUUUAAAGGGUGCGUAGGCGGUUUGUCAAGUCAGCGGUAAAAAUUCCGGGCUCAACCCGGUCCCGCCGUUGAAACUGGCGAACUCGAGAGGGAGAGAAGUAGGCGGAAUGCGCAGUGUAGCGGUGAAAUGCAUAGAUAUUGCGCUGAACUCCGAUUGCGAAGGCAGCCUACCGGCUCCUGUCUGACGCUGAGGCACGAAAGCGUGGGUAUCGAACAGG